rnacentral:lncRNA from 1 species
UCUUUCUCUCUCUUAAUUUUUUGUUCAGUCUCUUGACUAUCUCUCUCUUCCCUCUCAUCGAUAACGUUUCUUGUUGAAUGUUGGGUUUAUAAUUUUUAAAAGGUUGGCAUCCGUAGGUAGAGAGGUAAGGUGCACCAUUAAAUUUUAUCUUAGUAUAUAAUUUUGAUGUAAAAUAUUUUUAAGAUUAUUUUAAAAUUUAUUUUUAUAUUUAAGUAUAAAAUUUUUUAUUUUAAAAAUAAUAAAAUUAAACAGAUUUAAAAACAUAAAAAAAUCUUGAUCAUAAUCGGUGUAAAAAAUAUAUUGUACAACGCUUCAAUUUUUUUUAUUUUUUAUAGUCAUAUGUGUUGAUGUCGAGGGAUUUUCAACAUUAAAUCCACCUUUUUAUAUGGAAUGGAUUUAUUUUGAGGGAGAUCCGUAGUUCUACAUCAUAAGGUGGCGUUGUUAUGUAAACUUUUUCUUUGGGUUGGUAUCUACUUUUUCUCUCUCUUAGUUUUUGUCUUUUGACUCAGUCUCUCUCUUCACUGCUGUACAUUUCUCUCUCAAGUUUUUGCACCUCCGUGUCCUGAUUUUUGUUCCUCUCAGCUUUUGUUGUUGAGGAUGUGAAUAUAUGUUUCUUCUCGCUUUUGAGUACUCCCCCUCUCUCUCUCUCUCUCUCUUCUCUUU